rnacentral:rRNA from 1 species
ACCUUCACCAGGCCAAGGAGCUGGCAUCAGGCACAACCUCCCGCCCAUAACACCUAGUCUCACCACGCCCCCAAGGGCAAUCAGCAGUGAUAAACCUUGUAUAUAAGCGACAGCUUGACUCAGUUAAAGAAAAUAGGGCUGGCUAACCCGGUGCCAGCCGCCGCGGCUAAACCGCUGGAGCCCAAGCUGAUAAUCAUCGGCGUUAAGCGUGAUUAGAGUUUUAAUCAAUUAGGGUUAAAUUAAUGCUUAGUAGUGAUAAGCUUGUCAUUAAGAAAUCCAUAAACGAAAGUUACCCUAAUAAUCUUGAAUACACGACAGCUAAGAACCAAACUGGGAUUAGAUACCCCACUAUGCCUAGCCGUAAACAAUUAACUUACACUAAUAAACGCCAGGGAACUACGAGCCAUGCUUAAAACCCAAAGGACUUGACGGUGUCCCAUUCCCCCUAGAGGAGCCUGUUCUAUAAUCGAUGACCCCCGCUAUACCUAACCAUCCCUUGCUUUAUCAGCCUGUAUACCUCCGUCAUAAGCUUACCAUGUGAACGUUUAGUAAGCCCAAUGAACCGACAUGUCAGGUCAAGGUGCAGCUCACGGAAUGGAAAGUAAUGGGCUACAAUUUCUAACAUAGAACAAACGGAAGGUCAUGUGAAACCAUGGCCAUGAAGGCGGAUUUAGUAGUAAAAAGAAAAUAGAGUGUUCUUUUUAAUUCGGUUCUGG